GAGUUUGAUCGUGGCUCAGGAUGAACGCUGGCGGCGUGCCUAAUACAUGCAAGUCGAACGAAUCUUCUUCGGAAGAUGAGUGGCGAACGGGUGAGUAAUACAUAGGUAACCUGCCCCGGAGCGGGGGAUAACAUUUGGAAACAGAUGCUAAUACCGCAUAACAACAAAAGCCACAUGGCUUUUGUUUGAAAGAUGGCUUUGGCUAUCACUCUGGGAUGGACCUGCGGUGCAUUAGCUAGUUGGUAAGGUAACGGCUUACCAAGGCGAUGAUGCAUAGCCGAGUUGAGAGACUGAUCGGCCACAAUGGAACUGAGACACGGUCCAUACUCCUACGGGAGCAGCAGUAGGGAAUCUUCCACAAUGGGCGCAAGCCUGAUGGAGCAACACCGCGUGAGUGAAGAAGGGUUUCGGCUCGUAAAGCUCUGUUGUUGGAGAAGAACGUGCGUGAGAGUAACUGUUC
rnacentral:rRNA from 1 species